ACCAAAAAUUGUCCCCACAGCUCCGGGAUUGUCCCCAAAAUUGUCCCUCCUGGUGGCCCUGGCGGUGCUGGCGCUGCUCCUGGGGCUCCUCCUCUUCAUCUUCGGCCUCAGACGCUACCUGAGCACAGGUUACACCCCUCUCCCCGGUGACACCCAGGCAGGCAACAUCUGAGGAUCCUCCCGGGACGGGGCCUGAAAAUCCCGAAAAAAUCCCAAAAAUCCGCCCCAAAAAAACCACAAAAAUCCUCAAUUUUGACCCAAAUCCUGCUCAAAAAUCUCCC